GUCCCAGGUUGUGGCUGUAGAAAAUCAGGCUGGUUAAACCGUUUGGUUUACGACCACUACGACCCGGGUUCGAUCCCCGCAUUGGACA